rnacentral:rRNA from 1 species
UACAGAGGUCUCGAGCGUUAGGCGGAAUCACUGGGCUUAAAGCGUGUGUAGGCGGAUCGGUAAGUACCUUGUGAAAUCCCACAGCUUAACUGUGGAACUGCUUGGUAUACUGCCAGUCUUGAGCCAGCUAGGGGCUACCGGAACAAAUGGUGGAGCGGUGAAAUGCGUAGAUAUCAUUUGGAACGCCAAUGGUGAAAACAGGUAGCUGGGGCUGUGCUGACGCUGAGACACGAAAGCUAGGGGAGCAAACAGG